rnacentral:misc_RNA from 1 species
AACGCACAUUGCGCCCGCUAGUAUUCUGGCGGGCAUGCCUGUCCGAGCGUCAUUUCAACCCUCAGGCCCUGGUUGCCUGGUGUUGGGGCGCCGCGUCCCCCAGCGGGCGCGGGCCCCGAAAGUCAGUGGCGGGCUCGCCAGGACUCCGAGCGCAGUAGUUUACACCUCGCUGCGGAGGACCUGGCGGGUUUCCCGGCCGUAAAACACCCCAAAUUUUACAAGGUUGACCUCGGAUCAGGUAGGAAUACCCGCUGAACUUAA